UAGUGUCCUGCGGAGGAUCAUUA
rnacentral:rRNA from 1 species